ensembl:lncRNA
AGAAAUACAAAUCAUUAGUACAUAAAACUGUGGAACCUCAAUAGUAGUCAGGAAAAUGCAAAUUAAGAUAAUAAAGAGGACUUCCCUGUGGUCCAGUGGUUAAGAAUCUGCCUGCCAAUGCAGGGGACAUGGGUUUGUCUUCCUCUGGUCCAGGAAGAUCCCACAUGGCACAGGUCAGCUAAACCUGUGUGCCACGAAUUCUGAGCCCUUGCACCAGAGUGUGCUCCACGACGAGAAGCCACCACAAUGAGAAGCCGGUGCGCUGCAGCCAGAGAGCAGCCCCCACUCACUGUGACUAGAGAAAGCCCGUGCGUAAUGAAGACCCAACAGAGCCAAAAAUAAGUUUUUAAAAAAGAUAAUAAAGAGAUGUCAUCUUAAGCCUAUUAGGUUAGAAAACAAUAAAUCAUUAGCAUCCAUUAUUAGGUGUGGGGAGGUGGCACCCCCAAGCUCAACUGGUGACAGCAUAAAUUGGUGUGCCAUAUGGGGCAACCUUUGAAUUUUGACUUAAAAAUAUACUCAUAUUCUGUGAUCUAGAAAUCUUGUCUUGAGGUAUAUUUCUAAGAGAAAUAGCCAAGCAUCUGCAAGGAGAGAGCUUACAGAGUAAUCUGUUUGUAAUGCCAAGACACAGAAACACCUAAAUGCUCACCAAUGGAAGAACAGGUAGUUAAAAAUACUAUUGUUAGUUCUAGACAACAGAAUGUUACGAAGCAUUUGAAAAGAAUAAGCUCUGUUUCUGUGGACAUGGAGAGCCCCCCCAGAACAUUUCCCAGAAUGGGAUAACCCAUGGCUUUAUUGAGAGACCUACUAAGUACCCAUCAUAAGAAAUAGGAAAGGCCCUGCCCAGAUACCGUGGGAGGACCACAAGUCACCUCUCUUCGCUCUCUUCUGUCUCUGAAAAUUCCUUUAGAUGGAUUUCUCCCCUUAGAUUUGUUCUCAACUUCUAGUUUUCUUUUGUCUAUUUUCUAUCUCCUUUUUUCCCUUAAUGUUCAACAUACCUGGAAUUUCCACAUUAGCCUUCAAAACUUAAUCACAAAUUAUUUCACUUACCAUUUUUAUAAAUUUCAAAGUCUUUUUUCUGUUUUCUUCCCCUUCCUCUUCUUCUCCCCCUUCCCCUUCCCCGCA